rnacentral:rRNA from 1 species
GGAGCGGCAGACGGGUGAGUAACGCGUGGGAAUCUACCCAUCACUACGGAACAACUCCGGGAAACUGGAGCUAAUACCGUAUACGUCCUUCGGGAGAAAGAUUUAUCGGUGAUGGAUGAGCCCGCGUUGGAUUAGCUAGUUGGUGGGGUAAUGGCCUACCAAGGCGACGAUCCAUAGCUGGUCUGAGAGGAUGAUCAGCCACACUGGGACUGAGACACGGCCCAGACUCCUACGGGAGGCAGCAGUGGGGAAUAUUGGACAAUGGGCGAAAGCCUGAUCCAGCCAUGCCGCGUGAGUGAUGAAGGCCCUAGGGUUGUAAAGCUCUUUCAACGGUGAAGAUAAUGACGGUAACCGUAGAAGAAGCCCCGGCUAACUUCGUGCCAGCAGCCGCGGUAAUACGAAGGGGGCUAGCGUUGUUCGGAUUUACUGGGCGUAAAGCGCACGUAGGCGGACUAUUAAGUCAGGGGUGAAAUCCCGGGGCUCAACCCCGGAACUGCCUUUGAUACUGGUAGUCUCGAGUCCGGAAGAGGUGAGUGGAAU